GACAGAGGUUGCAAACGUUGUUCGGAAUUACUGGGCGUAAAGCGCGUGUAGGCAGCUUGGCAAGUCGGGUGUGAAAGCCCUGGGCUCAACCUAGGAAGUGCACUCGAAACUGCUUCGCUUGAGUAUCGGAGAGGAAAGCGGAAUUCUCGGUGUAGAGGUGAAAUUCGUAGAUAUCGAGAGGAACACCAGUGGCGAAGGCGGCUUUCUGGACGAUCACUGACGCUGAGACGCGAAAGCGUGGGGAGCAAACAGG
rnacentral:rRNA from 1 species